CCUCGAUUGUUUCAAAAGUGGGUUGGACAUGUAUUUGAGUGGGAUUGGGUGGUUAUAAAUAGGAGCUGCCUCGUAUGGGCCAAUAGGCCUUCUGCAGUUACCUUUGUUCUUAUGUUCUUCUUAUGUAUGAACAAGUUAAAAGGGUCGUGAGAGAAGGGGAUGCUCAGUUGUUGCUGGAUUUUUCAGUUCCUUUCUCCAUUAGGUAAGAGUGACUAUGUCCUUUUGGAAAUCAAAUAUAUAAUGUGUUAUUAUCUAGAAAAAGAGUGCAGAAAGUGACAUAGUGGAAAAAUUAAAUUUAAAAAAAAAAAAAAAAAAAAGAGGACACUGUGGGAAACUUUGCAAGUUCUUUAAUGAAGUUGAUUGGGAAAAUUUGUUAGGCAAGGAAAUCAAUGAGAUGUAUGCCAAAUUUUGUGAUAUAUAUGAGGGUACAAUAAAAGUUAUACCAAGACAGAGAUGCAGAACUAGAAAACAGAACUGAUUCAACAGAAAGUGAGAGAGCCUGAGGACAAAAGACAAAAAUAUUAAAUCAAUAUAGGGAGAGACCAAACCUACAAACAUACCAACAAUACAAACAAGAAACAACUACAAGGUAGUGAAAGGAGAGGCAGAAAGUAAGUCCGAGAGAGUUGACAAAUGUGAAACAGAACCAGUCCUGUUCUAUAAAAUUCUUAAAAGCAAAUUGCAGGUAAAGGAUAAACUGCAGAGAUUGAAAAUGGAGAACAGAUUCUGAGAAAAGGAAAUGUGUGUAGCCCUGAAUGAACAUUCCAAACUGUAUUUGUGCAAAAUGAGUUUGCAGAGAACCAGGGUACAAUACGCAUUUCAGAGAAAAACAGAGUACAUGGGUGUCUCAGGACGAAAGUGGGAAAAAAAAUCUUCAGGGAAUAAGGUCGAAACAAAGCAUUUGGUUUAGAUGGAAUUUCACCUUGAGUUUUGAGAGAAUACACAUCUAAGCUGAAAUCAGUUGAAUGUACUUCAACUGAUUUUUUUCAGGCAUUUUUAUGUAUAGGAAUGUUAGGAGAUGCAUGGAAAAAGGCAAACAUACAGUAAUUCCAAUCUACAAAAAUGAUAGGAGGGAGGACCCCUCAUAAUUUAAAACUGGUAUCAUUGACAAACGUGGUAGUCAAAACACUGUCCGAGAGAGAUGUCAGGCUGGAGAGUAGUGGAGAGUGGUGUUCUACAAGGCUCUGUCCUAGGACCAUUGCUUAUUUUACUUUACUGUACAGUGAGCUUAUACAUGUCAAUGUAAAGUAGUGAAAAUGGGUAAGGGAGAUAGGAGACCUGUAUAUUUAACUACACCAUAAGGAAGAGCAACUACAAGAAACAAUAAGAGAAAAAGACCUGGAUGUAGACAUAAUUCCAACACUAACAUUAGAAGCUCAUGUGAACAGGACAACAGCAGCAGCAUAUGGAAAAUAAGCAAGCAUAAGAACAUAAUUUAAGAAUCUAAACAAAGAGGGGGUUCAAGUUCUAACACACUGCCUAUGUGAGACCAUUACGUGAGUAUGCAGCACCAGUAUGGAGCCCACACCUUGUGAAGCACAAAAUAGGGAACUCGAGAAAGUUCAGAGGUUUGCAGCUAGAUUAGUACUAGAAUUAGGAAGCCUCGGGUAUGAGGACAGGUUGAGAGGACCCACCCCUCACAACCUUAGAAGAAACAGAAGGAAUAAGAACAUAAGAAUCAAGGCAACUGCAUAAGGCCUAUUGGCCCAUACGAGGCAGCUCCAAUUCAUAUCCACCAUAUAUUGUAUGUGGUGAUAUGAUCACUACUUACAAGAUCCUGAUGAGAAAGACAAAAUGGGCAAAGGAAACCUAUUUAAAUUAAAGAAAGAUAGGACAAGAGAACAUCAGUGGAAGCUGGACAUGCAAUUGAGUCCAAGAGAUGUGUGGAUGUUCUCACUUCCUAUAUGGGUGGUGGCAAGUGGACUUGAAGGAAGAGGUUGUUGAAGCCACUUCCAUCCAUAGCUUUAAGAAUGUGAUGAACAUGCUAAUGUUGAGAGGGGCAAUUAAUGCAACAGGUAUAAAUGGUUAAGGGUCGGGGCAUACAGAGCUAGAUCUCGCUCCACUAUAGUCACUAAUAAGUAAGCACUGCUUCCAUACAUCCCUGUGGCUCACUCGUUUUUCCAGUUUCCACCCCUGCUCUCUCCCUAUAACUAGAAUGACCUAGAGAGAGAGAGAGAGAGAGAGAGAGAGAUUGAGUGAUACAGGUGGAAACUAGAUACAUGUAUACUGUAUACAAAUACUCACACAUACAUACUUAUUACAUGAGCAAAAUAACAGGAAACCGAUGUGUUUCCUCCAUCAGAUUUCCUGUCACAUCUUAAAUAGACGACAAUGAAUCAUAAAACAUCCAGCAAAAAAAAAAAAAAAAGAUCAUAAAAUCUGACCCAAUGCUGGGAACUCAACAACAAAGACAUUAACUACAUCAUUACUACCACUCAUCAGGUAUAGAAAAUACAUCCUCAGUUGCUUUGCCUUGUUUUGAUGCAGCUUUCUUGCCUGGGAAAAAUUUAGAAUUAGUUCAAAAUUAUUAAAGAUUAAAUGUAAAACUUAAAGGAAAGCUAAGUGAAAUAACAUGUUGUGUCAAAACUAAAUGUAUUCCAAAGAGAAGUUAACAGGACAUUAUGCAAAUUCCUAGGAAACAGACGACUGAAAUUCGUCACUUUUGUGGUGUAGGUGAUUGUCACCUAUUGUAUAAUAGGUAACAUAAGCAUUGUACAAAAUUGUUACACAUGAGAAAUGAUGGAAUCAAUAUUCAAAUGGUUAAAAUUAAGGAAUGCUCAAAACAGCUUAGAAAUGAUAUAAAUAAGGAGGAAAAUACAUGUAUAUGGGAGUUAGGCAAGAGGAACAAGUGUGAGGAUAAUAGGCCAAGAGAGAGGAAGUACACACACGAGGAAAAGGCCUAAAGUUGCUGUGUGGGAAAUGGAAGGCCGGUGUGGAGCACGUAUGUACUGUGCACUUACAGUCUAACAUGUUGAGACUGGUCUUCUAACAGCAGUGACACAGAGAGAGAGAGAUGCUUGGGGUAUCUACAGUUUUAACCACAAGUAUUUCUAAACAUGUUUACAUAGCUUUACUUUGACUAGACCACAUACUAGAAGGUGAAGGGAUGACGACGUUUCGGUCCGUCCUGGACCAUUCUCAAGUCGAUUGUCCAGGACGGACCGAAACGUCGUCGUCCCUUCACCUUCUAGUGUGUGGUCUGGUGAACAUACUUCAGCCACGUUAUUGUGACUCAUCGUCUGCAUAUAGCUUUACUUUUUCACUUCAAUAUACUUACUGAGACAAGUCUCAUUCUGUCCACACAUUUUGUUUUCUCAAUGUAAGCAUGACAGUUAUUGUAAUAAUGUUAUACCAUACAUAAACAGACAAACAGAAUUUCUUGGUAAAUAAUCCAAGUGCUUAUUCAAAUGACCUUUAAAAUUUAUAUGCAUCUGAGUGUGUAGAGUGGUAAUCAUCAGCUGAAUAAAAAAUACAACUAUACUAUAUGGGAAUUUAUAAAUUAAGAAAAUAAAGAAUAUCACUGUAACUACUUUAUUGGAAGACAAACUUUCACCUUACCAUUAUCUCCACUAAUUACGGAAGGAGGUUCUUCUGCACUUGGAGACUCCAAGGUCAUCUUUGAUAGUUGAUCUGAUCUGUUGUAACCCAUAGGAAGUUUAAUGAACACAACAACAUUUUUAACCCUUUUGGGACAAUAUUUAUGCAACCUUGUUAUUCUCUAAGAAGUGAAAUUUUCAAAUAUAUGAAUAAUAUCUAGAAUGGAGAGAAUUAAAAUGAUGAACUAUGAUGUAUAAAAAUGCACAAUGUUUCCUAGCAAUGCUCACAUAUCAUUAAAACUUGCAUUGUUAAAUUUUAAAAAGUUGUAACUAAUUGCACAGUAUGUUCUACUCUACACAAUGUCCAGUGUGACCUCAAAAAUCUAAUUAUUCUGACGUUUUGUAGAUUUCAAACAAAUUUGUUUAGUUUAUUUGUGGUGACAAUUUUGGUGGGGUUUCCUUUACAGAAUAUGACAAUACUUAUUUUUUUAAUUUUUACACGCUCAAAUAUAUAAGCAAAUAUUUGUAUUUUGUUAAAAUAUAAAAUGUAUAAUAAAAGCUUAACCUUG